CAGCAGCCGCGGGAAUACGAAGGGGGCUAGCGUUGCUCGGAAUGACUGGGCGUAAAGGGCGCGUAGGCGGAUUGUUUAGUUAGGCGUGAAAUUCCUGGGCUUAACCUGGGGACUGCGCUUAAUACAGGCAGUCUAGAGUGAGGAAGAGGGUUGUGGAAUUCCCAGUGUAGAGGUGAAAUUCGUAGAUAUUGGGAAGAACACCGGUGGCGAAGGCGGCAACCUGGUCCUUGACUGACGCUGAGGCGCGAAAGCGCGGGGAGCAAACAGGAUUAGAUACCCCCGUAGUCCCUGUCUCUUAUAA
rnacentral:rRNA from 1 species